rnacentral:siRNA from 1 species
AGUCUGUUCUUAUUGCCUGCAUAG